UUGUUUUGCUAAACGACGAAGUCACCGAAACGUGGCAUUUGCCACUAGUUUUAUUAUACAUAUAAUUACGCUAUUUUCUUACUGCUGCUUUGUUAGCGCAAGUGAAUAAGGCACUGAACAGACCCGAUUCGAGUUUGUUUCAACUGUUAAAAUAGAAACACAAUUUUAUACCAAUCAGCAGGGAUAUUUUCUUUGGGCUGUUCAUUUUUCUAAUGAUGAAUGGCUUAGCUGCUACAAGUUCCCUGUAGCUCAUUGGUAGAACAUCCAACCAUUUCAUACAAUUUCAACAUAUGCUGGAACAAUUCUGUAGUUUGGUUUCCAACUAGCUUGUGGUACUAACUAAUAAACAUCUUCCUGAAGUGGCUGUUGUGGGUAUAUGUCAAAUAAAUACUAUUUAUUUUGGUAAUCCAUUAGUUUACGAUUUUAUUGUUCUUGUUUACUUUGGAAUUGAUUUAUUUUUAGGUUUGUGUGUUGUCUUUAUUUAGUUUGUCUUUGUUAACUUUGAGAGUUAACUCUCCAUUGAUUAGCUUUUAUUACAAGUGGGCAUACUAAUGGAACAAGAGGUAAAGUUAUUCCAUUUUCAUUUAGAAAUGUUAAUUUUUGUUGAUUUUCCUGUUGCUUAGGGUGAUCAAGUUGGUAAAGUUGUUGUCAAGCUAAGAGGAUCACGAUGUGGAGGUUGUCGAAGAGUAAAUGAUUCUGAACGCCCACAUGCCUUUGAGAUUGUAGCUGAGGAUGGAUCACCAUUAAUUCUUCUUGCUGCCUUUAGCGAGGAUGAUGCUACUGAUUGGAUUUUUAGACUUUGCCAGGCUGUUGCUGAAACGUGUGACAGUGAAGACGAAAUGAGUUGCACAUUGAUGAAUUGCGUGCCCUGUUGUCUCAUCCUCACUAAUGUCAAGUUGGAGUGAAAUCUUUACCACAUCGUGUUAUCUAGUGAGACUCCAGACAGUCAACCAUUACAGGAAAGAUCUUAUGAAGACAUGAUUGAUCAUCGCAGUUAUAUACACAACCUAAGCAGCUGUGAAAUUAAAGCCUGAAAAAAUUUCAGGCCUGACCGGGAUUUGAACCCUUAACCUCUGUGAUACUUGUGCAGUACUCUACCAACUGAGCAAUCAAGCCAGCUGGGAGCUGGUCAAGUUGUGAGUUGUGAGUUCAUAUAUUCACUUGUAUCUUCACCAUGUGCCGGUAUAUUACGAACUGACAACUUGACCAACUCCCAGUUGGCUUGAUAACUCAGUUGGUAGAGCACUGCACUGGUAUUACAGAGGUCAUGGGUUCAAAACCCCAAUCUAGCCUGAAUGUUUUUCAGGCUUUAUAGUUUCACAACUGCUUAAAUAUAAUGAUCUUUUGAGAUCAUACCCAAAUAUAUGAUCUUUCAUAUAUUCGCGUGUAGAACAGAUUUUGUUGUAUUGUAAUCGGCCUUUUAUUUUGAUGGCUGAUGUAGUCAGUCAUACAUUCUUCUUUUUUUUACCUCGUAACUGAGAAGUGGUUAAGUUGAUAUUCUCUUUUGUCCAAAAGAUUGUGGCUUGUCUUACCAACCCAACCAGAGAGGAAACAUUUGAGCUCCUGAGUGAAUGCUCUGUGGAAAGUGUUACUAGACUGUUUCUGGACAAUGAUGUCAGGAACUAUUGUAUUUUGGGGUUUGAACGUAGUGAAUUAGCAGGCACAGAAUCAUCUUGGUUUGUUUGGUUUAAAACGGAAUAUGAACUUGCAAAGUUUGAACGUGGUCUAUUACAAGCUUGGCAAGAACUUUUCCAGGUUGAUCUUCAGUUUCUAGUACUUGGUGAUGGAUCAAUGCGUGCAGUAGCAAGACAACAGGCAAAGAAUAUUGAGGAUCUCUAUAAAAGCCAAAUGGCUUAGUGCAGCCAAUGGCAUACAAUAUUUGAUAUUUUCUAACCCAUUCAACAAAAUAUGUUCGUGGUUUUUCUUUGGAGUCUAAUCACAUACUCUUAACUCAUAAUCAAAAAUGCUGCCUACAUUCUUCUAGGCCUUGUGUCAUAAUUAUUUGACUGGAUGCUUAAAAGAAUAUCGAUUCUUCUUCCCCUCAGAGGAAUAGUCAUGUCAUGUCAUUAGCAUAAAGGAAAACAUCAUCAUCUCACAUGGCAAUUGAUUGACAUUGUCAGGGGAACAGGGUGUCACACCAGAAAAGUCACUCAAUAAGUUACACCAAAUGAAAUUUUUUCAAAAACCUACUAACGAGAAAAUUUAAUCCAAAAAGACCUAAAUUUACAUUGCAGGAUAUGUGCUGCAGUCUAACCCUAACCCUAAUUUACUCAAAGGGCUGAUUUUAUCCCACAGCGUUGACAGGACGUUUGCUGCGGUCCUAGUGACCAGCAUCCGACCAACCAAAAACUAUUUAAAAUCAAGUAGCAGUUCUGCCAUGUUCUCAUCAUCGGGCAUGUAACGAACUUACCCCAUGUACUCUCUCACACAGCUAUACAUAGUAUACAAGUCAAGAAAGCCGCUUGUGUGUUAUUCGAUACAAAAGUUGAGUCUUAACUAAAUGGUUGUGCCUUGGUUACCGCCCGACACGUUCAUUACUUAGGUUGGUUGGUUUUCUCUUAUCCCACAGCCCUAAUAUGAAAAAUUCGUAAUAAACAGGCACUCGACCACAACCAAAAUGCGUGAGAUUCUGUCAUGUGUCAUAUUUUACCAGAGUGUCAUGCAAAAUGAAACCCCCAUGCAAAAUGCUCUCUUAUAGGGUUGGUGCACAAGGUUGUGUGUAGGGGAGGGCAAAAUAAUCAUGUUAUCCAAGACAAAAGAGUCAAAUACCAAAGUUAUAUUUUUUGAUGAGACAAUUUUUACAUAACAUUUCUUACCUACUUAACAGUCUCGUUGUUGAUUCAGGGCAUACCUUUGAAGACUUCUUUUUGUUUUCAUCAUCGGAGUCAUCAACUUUUGGGAUAUUUCUUGGAAGUCUGUUCUAAGUAUAUGUAGUGUAUACCUAACCGAAAAUAAAGGUUGGAAGUCUUUGAUCUAUCUUUCCACCACUGCCUUCACUCAUAAAAUGGUGAAGAGUGUUGUAUUGUGUCACACCUCAUACAAUCAGUCCCCUUUAGAUGCUGCAAAUGGAUCCUUCACAGUUUCUUCUACUUAGUAAUAGGAGUUUGAAAGUGGUAAUCUAGGCAUAGCCAUUGUACUUUCUCACAUUGUUGUUUAAUGUCUUCCACUUUCUCGCUCAGCAUCCUCUCACUGAUGGUUGUCUCCUAUAGCACCUCACCUUCCUCUUGAGAGUUAUUUCUGUUCUCUUCCUCUUACUACACUUCUUCCUUCUCCUUCUGCUGCCCUGAACAUUUUCUUUGUCACUUCUAUAUUCUUCCUCAAAUUGAAAAUAUCCGGUGUACAGUCACCCAUGGUUUAUGAGGGUAUUCUCCCUGUCUCUCGUUCCCUCUUUCCCUACAGCCUUUUACUACUGCAUUGUGUUUUAAAUGAGAUGGAUCGAUUUUUAAUACUGUAUACAAUUUUGCCAGCUUUGCGGUAUCUUUUGUGCAUCAAGAGGUGACUAAACACCCAUGUCCCGUUCUUGCUGGCUGGGUGUAGGUCUAGGACUGUGUACCGGAAUAGUUUUUCCAUCGUGAAACAUUGUGGGAAAGCCUUGGCUGUGUCAGGCCUUAUUGAUUGCACGGAUUCUUGAUUGCCAUGAUGUAAUGAACGUUACGGGAGAUGACAUAUUUGCCCAUUGGAAAAAUGUCGUGGCACAAGUACAACACAAUGAUAUUUUGAUGCUGAGAAUGUUUGAUGAAUAAAUCCCGUAACUCUAUCUUCACCUCCCUCUGCCAUUACAUCGUCUAACACCAGUAGUCCCCUUUUAUGGAACCACUUUAGCAUUUGGGUGGUCUCAGGGAUCCCCUUGUGAAAUUGAGUGCCUUCAUCUUGCGUGUUCUGGUACCUUUUUUGCCACGUUCCAUGGCAGUAAUUAACUGCGUUAGGGGGAUUGAUAAACAAUUCUUGUAAGUGAUUCAAGAGUAACAACUUUGUAAAGAAAUUGUGCCACAACCAGAGGGACCCAUGAACAAAACACAAGAGGCUGUCUUGAACUGAAAUGCCUCUCUUAUUUCAAUUCUUUUUGGGAUCCCUUCAUUGUCUUGCUUGUCCUGGUACCCAUUUGGCCGUGCUUCAUAGCAGUAAUGAAUCACAGGAGGAGACGGUUUGCAAACAAUUCUCGGCUCGACUCAGUGAAAACGUCUUGCCACAACCAGAGCGACCUGUAAACAAAAUACUAGACAAUGUCUUGACCUCAGAGGCUUUCCUAUUUCCACUCUAUAAGGAAAUGUAGCACUGAAGAUGGAGGGUAGUAGUUUGCCGUGACACUUGCAAGUGGUUUCCAAGUAUAUCUCUCAUGAUGUCUCCUGCUACCAGCACGAGUAAAUGGCUUUUGUGAAAGUAAGAGAUUCAAUGUGACAUAAUUUCCUCUUUGCUCCCUCCUCUUGCAGUUGGGUUAAACUCGGAAUAUAUAUGAUAUUUUUAACAUCAUUUGGUUUUUCCACCAGCUACUUAUCAUCACCCUGCAGGGUAUCUGCAACACCCUGCUCAGUUUCCACAGUCCCCUACAGAAAACGUUCUAGGAAGAAGUGCACAGCACCAUAAAAGACUACAAUCUGUGAGAGGCUCUGCUCUAGAAACUUUCUCUCUCUUUGCCUACAAAGCCUUCUUGGCGGAUUUUUCGGACUUCGAAAUACGCUGCUCAUCGUCCGGGGUAUCCGCUAAAUCGUCAGUCACACGCUGAAACAGUCGCCCAACCGCAUCCCGAUCGAUCGGCAAGUUUAAUCAAUUUCUGACGCCCAGCCAAAAGCUGCUCACCUUCCCGUAACUCCUCCUUUGCGCUAACCAUUGUUCCCAUGACAAUGUCAAUCAAUCGUCACGUGCCAUAUACGUUUCCUUUGGCUAAUGAGGUCUCGACAUCACAUCAAGGUUUUUAGGUCAAUUCUGAGGUUCGGACUUCUGUUACAGAAAUCUGCUGUGCAAAGCAAGUGCAGGUGCAAGAGAUGAAAGGACCCAUUGUCUUCCACACUAUUCCAUUUUAUAUCGGUGUUAUCAACCACGGGAAGCCAUGUUUUUAUCUUACUAUUCAUAGCGUUAUUAUAAAGACAAGGAAGGGCUCGUGAAAGAUAAUUAUCUUCAAUUAUGCUUUGUUAUAAUGUCACAGUCUGGAAAAAAUUAAGAACUGCCAUCAAAAUAAAUUAAAUCAAUGUUUCUCAGGAAAGCAAGUUAAAUGUUUCUUGGGCAUAAAAGUUCAGGACAGUGAUCCGAUCUUAUGAGACUUUUGAUAGACUAUAAAGCUACAGCUGAACUGGUUGCGAACACCUCUAGUAAGCGACCACUUCUCCUCGGUGACCAGUUUUCCAAAGUACCAAAAGUUUCAAAGUCAAAGCACUAUAUUUGGAA